ensembl:lncRNA
GGGGACUACAGCUUUGGACAAAAGUCUAUAGCCAGAGCAUUCGUAAUUCCCCAUGCACAAGGGCUGACUGUGUCUGUGGGAAGACAUUUUAUUCAGUUGCUUUCUUAUUUCUUAGAGUUUUCUAGUCCUUUGCUCUCAGAUGUUUGCUACCUUUUAGAAUUUCACCUGUCUGGGUCACUGUACUUGAGAAAAUUCUGCAGCCUGUCAGAUGGUGUAGGUCUCAUAAAGACAGCUCUGUUCAGGUUUUGAAAGAGGGCUGCUCUCUAAGUGCUUGCUGUUAUCCUGUGCUGCCUCCUCUUUUAUUUCAAGAAUUAGGGGAGAGGGAAGAGGAUGCUUUCUUAACCCCUGUAUUUAGUGGCAAGCCAGAAUGUGCUCCCUGUGAAACCAUUUCUGACCCUCUGCUCGAAGUGGGACUGCAGUUUAAAGCUAGGAUUGGGACUUGGAAGGAUUCUCUAGGCAGACGGAACAGCCACGGAAGAAAAAAAACCGAACUGGAUUCACUGCGGACGGCGAAGAUGAGAGAGAUCGGGGAGGGGGGGCGAGGAAGAAGAGUCCCCGAGCGUCUGCCAGUCAGGACCACGGUCCGGGGGAAAACGCUCAAAGGCCCCCAGGCCGAGCGGGAGCGCGGAGGAGCCCCCGCGGACCUGCUCUGCCUUCUGCCAAUCAAAUGCUUCAGAGCCAACCGCCCGACCUGGCAGGAACCUAACUCUUCUCCGUGA